GCCGCUCCCGGCAGCGGAGAAGGGAGUUUGAGGUGGUUUGCCGGGACUCAGCGGCCGGGAUCCCUCUGGGACAGAGGACCUUAAAGACUGACAUUUCCCAGAGAAAGGCGACUCUUAGUCGCAAGGUCCCCUCGCUAGAAUAAAGGGACCCAUUCAAACUGAGGUCCGGAAGAGAAAGGAUGAGGGCUACGUGCUACCGCAAGGUCCAAGCCGCGCGGCUAGGCUUUUUGACUCGGGGAGGAGUUCCUGCCCGGGUUUACUGAGCCCGCGGUGGCCCUUCUGAGCCAGCGUUAGGUGUGACCUGUACGGCGUGCGAGGACGGAACACGGGUUAAUGGAGAAGCGCGAGUGGGAACGACGGAGCCAGAAAGCACGUGGGGAGUAGGGGAAGCGCCAUUGGAUGCGCGAUUCCUGAUUCGCUGAGCCUCUGGUUCCCCUCUGAGCGACCUGGAAACCAUGGCAUCCCAGCGAUUCCUUCCAGAUGCUAAGUCCUAAGGUUUUUGAAGGGGCUGCUGAGUUGAGAGAACAUAAGCCUGUUGCAAGACCACUCUAUAAAAAGAACCUGAUCUGAGAAUGAAGCCCAGCUCAGAGGGAAGCAGUCAAGAAGGGGAGAGAGACCAAGUUCUGAUGACAUCACUUGGCCCCUGGAUCCUGCUGGGCCAACCCCAGAACUUUUCAGUUUUUGAAAAACCAGUUUGCCGGGAUUUCUGUCACUUAUUACUGAAAGAAUUUUGGUAAAUAUACCUUCCAGGUGCAAAUACACUACUUCUAUCAUA